UUCCGUAGGUGAACCUGCGGAAGGAUCAUUAAUGAAUCAUAAAGUCGAUCAUCUGUGCUGGUGUUCAUUCACAUGUGCACGUUGAUCGCAAAAUCCACACACCUGUGCACUUUUGACCUUGGGAUUCGCUUGUUCUCGUGACUUGCAGUUGGUAGACUGUUGUCGACCUGAAUCUCAGGGUACUUUUUUAUCUAUGCCAAAUGUCUUAGAAUGUAACUGUGCAUAAUGCGCAAAUAUACAACUUUCAACAACGGAUCUCUUGGCUCUCGCAUCGAUGAAGAACGCAGCGAAAUGCGAUAAGUAAUGUGAAUUGCAGAAUUCAGUGAAUCAUCGAAUCUUUGAACGCACCUUGCACCCUUCGGUAUUCCGAAGGGUACACUUGUUUGAGUGUCAUUGUAAUCUCACUUCAACAACUUUUGUGGUUGAUUGUGGACUUGGAUGCUGUGGUGUAACCUACUGCUCAUCUGAAAUGCAUUAGUGUAUCCUGCUUUGCAGUGUAUCUGGUGUGAUAAGCAUCUUCAUCAGAUUUUAGGCUUCUUUGAAGCGCACUUGUAUUGUAGGCUCUAUGCUACAAACAGUCUUCGGACAAAUUUUGACAAUUUGACCUCAAAUCAAGUGGGACUACCCGCUGAACUUAAGCAUAUCAAUAAGCGGAGGAAAAGAAACUAACAAGGAUUCCCCUAGUAACGGCGAGUGAAGAGGGAAAAGCUCAAAUUUUGAAUCUGGUAUCUUUGAUGCCCGAAUUGUAAUCUAGAGAAGUGUUUUCUGCAUUGGACCAUGCAUAAGUUCCCUGGAACGGGGCGUCAUAGAGGGUGAGAAUCCCGUAUAUGGCAUGGACUCCCAUUGCUCUGUGAUACACUCUCAACGAGUCGAGUUGUUUGGGAAUGCAGCUCAAAAUGGGUGGUAAAUUCCAUCUAAAGCUAAAUAUUGGCGAGAGACCGAUAGCAAACAAGUACCGUGAGGGAAAGAUGAAAAGCACUUUGGAAAGAGAGUGAAACAGUACGUGAAAUUGUUGAAAGGGAAGCGUUUGAAGUCAGUCACAUCUGUUGGAAUUCAGCCUUGCUUUUGCUCGGUGUAUUUUCUGACUGAUGGGUCAGCAUCAAUUUUGACCGAGGGAGAAAGACUUGAGGAAUGUGGCUGUCUUCGGGCAGUGUUAUAGCCUCUUGUUGUAUACCUCGGUUGGGAUUGAGGACUGCAGUGCGCCUUUUGGCCGGGGUUCGCGCCCUCGGUACGCACUUAGGAUGCUGGCAUAAUGGCUUUAAGCGACCCGUCUUG
rnacentral:rRNA from 1 species